rnacentral:rRNA from 1 species
GAUAAACGUUGGCGGCGUGCCUAACGCAUGCAAGUCGCACGAGGGCUUCGGCCCGAGUGGCGGACGGGUGAGUAACACGUAGGGACCUGCCCGGAAGUGGGGGACAACUCUCCGAAAGGAGAGCUAAUACCGCAUACGGUCUAUGGACCAAAGCCGCAAGGCGCUUCUGGAGGGACCUGCGGUGGAUUAGCUAGUUGGUGGGGUAACGGCCUACCAAGGCGACGAUCCAUAGCUGGCUGAGAGGAUGAUCAGCCACACUGGGACUGAGACACGGCCCAGACUCCUACGGGAGGCAGCAGCGAGGAAUUUUGCACAAUCGACGCAAGUCGGAUGCAGCAACGCCGCGUGGGGGAAGAAGGCUUUCGAGUUGUAACCCCUUUUGUGAGGGAAGAAGAUCUGACGGUACCUCACGAAUAAGU